CAAAAUAAUAUUGUUAUACAAAAUUCAAUGAAAGAUUAUAGAUUUUUUACAAUUUUUCACUUUCAUCAACAUCAAGGUGGUAGCACUGACGUGCAUCUGGCGACAGCUCAUAUCUGACGCGAAUUAAUAUUCGUCUCAAGAAUCCACAUUUUUCUAUAAAAUUUCGAGGGUUGAAUGUGUUCGCGUUAUUCUUCGUGGGUAGCGGCACGAUCUUCUAGCCUGAAAAUGUACACCGAGAAUAAACGCAUUGUCUGCGUGAUACCAAAUCGACAAUAAUGAGCAAUGUCGUCGUUCCGAAUUUCUUGUUGCGCAAUUCGCAUCUGCAGUGGAUUUUUAUAUUCUCGAUUCGCUAAUUUCGGUCGUAUUUAUUAUUAUCGCUGGUAUCGUAUCGUUCGUUCAUCUCGGCAAAAUAAAAAUUUUCGAUGAAACAAUGAUGAAGAAAAAAAGAAAAUCGAUGUUGAAAGAGAAUAUGAUUUUCCGUUCGCAAAGUAACAUUAGAGAAUGUGAAGAUUAAGGUUAGAAAAUGAUUUUCAUAUUACAACAUUAUUUCAUGUGGCAAUAAAAACAAGCAGAUUCUGAUUCGUCAAAUCAGUCAAUUAAACGGACAAAAUUACCGGAAUGAUUAAUAUUUAUUCGGAAUGAUUAAUAUUUAUCAUGUUAAUGAAAAAUUUCAUCGAUAGAAUAAAUAAAUGACAUUGACAUUAUGUAUGUCAAUAUAGAAGAUAUAUAUUAAAAUUGGCCAAUUCAAUGAUAAUUUCAUUUCAUUUCCAUCUCAAAUUAUGAUGGUUUAUUUAAUGUACAUUAAUUAGAAUUAUAUAUUACAUUAGGAUUAUAUAUACAAUUAAUUUGUAAUUAAUUAUUUAAAAUCAUAAAAGAAUUUAUAAGAAAGAAAUAUAAAAGUUAAAAUAAAUAAAAUUUUAAUUAAAAUUUUACAAUAAAAUUUUAUAUAAUCUAUAGAAUAUAUUAUAUCAAUUUUAAAUAAUCCAUAAUUGAAUUAAUUUUCAUUUGUAGAUAUUUUAAAUUAAAUUUGCUAUUCAUAA